UGGAUCAUGAACUAAUAAUUACAGAGUCAUAUUAUGAUAUUUUUGUAGCUGAGAUCGACAUUACGUACCUUUGAAUAAUGUUUACCAUUUGUUGAUAAUUUUCUUGUGGUUUUCUCAUUGAGUCAAAGAUUAUCAACCGGUUCUUGGGAAUUUCAAUGACCAUGAGUAUCCAGUGAAAGCUGUUUACACACAUAUAUAUAUAGUCAGUCUUAUAAUGUAAAAUAAAAUAUGCAUGCACUUAAUAACUAUAUAACUCACUCGAAGUUGAAGGGGAAGAGUAUUUUUUGUUUUUCUUUUUGGUUCACAAAGAACCUCAUAAGAUUGGUGUAGACUUCUGUCUCAUGAGCUGCUGUCCACACUGCCUGCGGAGCUUUGAAAACAAUAUAAGGGUCAAUGAACCCAAUACUAUUGUCAUUUCUGAUUCUGAGCUCUCAUUUGGUGCCUGCAUAUAUACAUACAAAUCCAAAGUGUGUAAGAAUUAUAUAAAUGUAAUUAAAGAAGUUAGAAGUAUAAUAAAAAGAAAAAUAUACUUACAGACAAAAGCAGCUGACAAGAGAUUUGUCGAGAGCGUCAAGGUGACA
rnacentral:lncRNA from 1 species